UACGUAGGGGGCUAGCGUUGUCCGGAAUUAUUGGGCGUAAAGAGCUCGUAGGCGGCUUGUUGCGUCGGUUGUGAAAGCCUGGGGCUUAACCCCGGGUCUGCAGUCGAUACGGGCAGGCUAGAGUUUGGUAGGGGAGAUCGGAAUUCCUGGUGUAGCGGUGAAAUGCGCAGAUAUCAGGGGGAACACCGGUGGCGAAGGCGGAUCUCUGGGCCGAUACUGACGCUGAGGAGCGAAAGCGUGGGGAGCGAACAGG
rnacentral:rRNA from 1 species